UUAAAGAAUAUGUCUCUAAAAAAUAAAUGGUAGACAUUUACCUAUUCACUUCAAGUGAACAUAUCAAACUCUAUAUAUGUAUUUUACCAUUCUAAUUUCUUUUUCGCGCGAACAAUCAUAUAUAUUCAUUUAACUUCACACCUUCAAGUGUGCGGACUACAAGUGAAAACAAAUUCUACUUUAUGAAGUGAGUUUGAUUUCAUUCGAAUUGUCUCUUUCUAUUUGCAAAUAUAAUCUUUAAUAGACUUAAAACCAUGAUCCUCAUUAUUACUUAUUACAUAUAGCGUCAUAUUAUAUGCAUAAACACGUCAACGUUGACUUGAUUUCGAUUCAAUCUCAUUCUAUUGAGAUCUUUCAUUCAUGACAUAAUUUAUCAAUAAUUCAUAAGUUUCAGGUACCUAAUUAUUUCUUCUGGAAUUCAAAAAUCAAUUAUGUCAGAAAACUCUAGAAUUUCUAUAUCCUCGUUUGGGUUAUCAUUCUUUUAAGCUCCUUUUCUUAUUCGAGGCUUUUUAUAUUUGGAACCGAUUGUCCUACCAUGCUUCGGACACGGUUGAGACUCAUUUGCAAUAUUAUAUUAUCCAACAUGGACAUAUAUUUCGUUUGGAGCAUUAGAAGUUGAUAUUUGAUGUGUUUACCUUUGCAAAUGAGUUAUAUCUUGAGGAUCAAGACGAGACAAUAAUAUUUCUUUUCAAAUAAUUUAUUUGAACUACAGGUUCACAUUUUCAGCUGCUUAUUAUCUCCCCUUAAUAUUAGGAAAAUUAAUCCAUCAAUUGAUAAUCAACCUACUAGGCUCUAAAUGUAACAACCCGUUUUUUGCUAGAUUUAUUUUAAUUAAUUAUUAAGUGUGUUAAUAUGUGUUUAUGUGUGAUUAUUUGCCUUUGUGUGUAUUUUAUUCGGGAUUAGUAAACGUUGGCUUAAGAAUGUUAUUUUAGUUAUUUUAGACUCAAGGGUAUUCUGGUCAUUUGGGGAGCAAGGGUAAAAUAAUCAUUUUAUUUGGAGGGUUAUUUUGGUGUGUUAUGUGGGAAUAAUUAUUUUUACUACGUUUCUAGUAAGUUGGGGUAAGACAGUAGUUAUUCAUUAUUUUGACGGUUUAAGUGUGUAGUAACUUUGGUGAAUUAGUUGGUAAGAAUAUUGAGCACAUUAAGACAAUUAGAGACUAAGCCCAAUUAUGAGGAGACUAUAUAAACACAACACUUGUGAAAAAUUAGGUCAUUACAUUCAUUCACUCAUUUCACAAAAACAUUUUGAGAGAGAUGUAGAGAGAGAUAGUGGAUCAAGAAGAAGAAAAGAGGAGCAAGAGAGAUCUUAGGAUUGGAGGCUAUGAGUUAAAAUGAAGCUAUGGUUUGGAUUCUUGAAGAACUUGAGCUAACCCCAGUGGUCAUUUGGUUGAACGCCUACCUUAUUCGCAUGGAUGGGUAGACGACGUGGAGGACUAGUUUGCUUUGCUUUGGUGAGUCGCUUGAGGAUAGCUUGGACACUACCUCGUUUACUGCUUUUGGGGUCUUAGACUUUAGAGCUUUGAUUAGGGGUCUGUCUUUGAUGUUAUCUUUAUUAUGUCUGUUGGAAAUUUUUGAGACUAUGUAUUAAUGAUGAUAUGAGUUGUAUGAUGACAUGACUACUUGGUGA